rnacentral:rRNA from 1 species
ACCCCUACGGGGGGCAGCAGUGGGGAAUAUUGCACAAUGGGCGCAAGCCUGAUGCAGCAACGCCGCGUGCGGGAAGAAGGCCCUAGGGUUGUAAACCCCUUUCAGCAGGGAAGAAGCGAAAGUGACGGUACCUGCAGAAGAAGCGCCGGCUAACUACGUGCCAGCAGCCGCGGUAA